CCUACGGGGGGCUGCAGUGGGGAAUAUUGGACAAUGGGGGGAACCCUGAUCCAGCCAUGCCGCGUGUGUGAAGAAGGCCCUCGGGUUGUAAAGCACUUUCAGUGAGGAAGAACGCCUGGUGGUUAAUACCCAUCAGGAAAGACAUCACUCACAGAAGAAGCACCGGCUAACUCCGUGCCAGCAGCCGCGGUAAUACGGAGGGUGCGAGCGUUAAUCGGAAUUACUGGGCGUAAAGCGCGCGUAGGUGGCUUGAUAAGCCGGUUGUGAAAGCCCCGGGCUCAACCUGGGAACGGCAUCCGGAACUGUCAAGCUAGAGUGCAGGAGAGGAAGGUAGAAUUCCCGGUGUAGCGGUGAAAUGCGUAGAGAUCGGGAGGAAUACCAGUGGCGAAGGCGGCCUUCUGGACUGAUACUGACACUGAGGUGCGAAAGCGUGGGUAGCAAACAGGAUUAGAUACCCCUGUAGUC
rnacentral:rRNA from 1 species